UGGGCUACACACGUGCUACAAUGGGUGGUACAAAGAGAUGCAAUCGUCGCAAGAGCAAGCAAACCUCAAAAAGCCAUCCUCAGUUCGGAUUGGAGUCUGCAACUCGACUCCAUGAAGUCGGAAUCGCUAGUAAUCGCGGAUCAGCACGCCGCGGUGAAUACGUUCCCGGGCCUU
rnacentral:rRNA from 1 species